AACGAACGCUGGCGGCGUGCCUAACACAUGCAAGUCGAACGUGAUUAGAGAGCUUGCUCUCUAUGAAAGUGGCGCACGGGUGAGUAACGCGUAGGUAAUCUACCUGCUGAUCCGGGAUAACACUUCGAAAGGGGUGCUAAUACAAGAUAAGCCCACGGGGUCUUUGGACUCUGCGGGCACAGGAGGGGACUUGCGGGCCUUCCGUCAGUAGAUGAGUCUGCGUACCAUUAGCUAGUUGGUAGGGUAAAGGCCGACCAAGGCGACGAUGGUUAGCUGGUCUGAGAGGAUGAUCAGCCACACGGGAACUGACACACGGUCCAGACUCCUACGGGAGGCAGAAGUGGGUAAUUUUGCGCAAUGGGGGAAACCCUGACGCAGCAACGCCUCGUGAGUGAUGAAGGCCCUUGGGUCGUAAAGCUCUGACAGAGGGAAAGAAGUGUAUUGUGGCUAAUAUCCAUGAUGCUUGACGGUACCCUCAAUGGAAGCACCGGCUAACUCCGUGUCAGCAGCCGCAGUAA
rnacentral:rRNA from 1 species